ACGUGUCCUACCUCAUCGAGCGCCGCGUGGCCGCGCACCAGCGCGCGCCGCCCAUCUCAGUCAUGCAGCGGCCCAUGGACGAAGAGGAAGAGAUCGUGGAGGAAGCCCCGGAGCCCGAACCCGAGGACGAGCAGGACUGGGACUGGGAGGACGACGACGACGACGACGACGAGCCCGACGCCAAGAAGCUCAAGCUGCCCGGCGAGCUCUAAGCAGGCUGUAGGCUGCAGGGUGACGUGACGCGGUAUGUUGUGGAAGGCAAUUUUAGCAGAAGAAAAGUCGUUUUAGGGUUGACAUUUUUGGUGUCAAAUAGGUUUCCUUAAAAAAAGACGGAUUUUUUAUUAUCCGUUUUGACAGAAAAGAUUAAAAAAAAAUUUAUUAUUACUUUUUUCUUCCCAUUUGGCGAAGUUGAAUUUGUCUUAUAUUCUUUUGGUCUCCAUAAAAUAUCUAAUCUAAUGAGGGUUUUCGCGAUUAAAAAAUCCGCCAGAUGACGGGACGUGGAUGUGGGGUCUGACUGCUGCGUGAUUGGUGGAUUUUGACAUAUCUGUCAAUGUCAUGUCAAAAAUAACCAAUCAUGCAGCAUUUGGACCUCGCGUCUACGUAUUGCCAUCUCGCGGAUUUUUCAAUCGCGAAAACCCUCAUUGAAUGGAACCACCAAUUUUAUUUACUUACAUCUCUUGUCGAGUUGUCGCCCUGAGGUUGUGUUAAAAAUUACUUCUGAACAUACUGCAAGAAACACGUGCAACGUUGCACUGGCGUUGCGUGGAGCGCUAAAGUAUUUACCGGAGCAGUUGCAAAAUUUAUAACAUAAUAGAUUUCGAAUGACAAUUUACAACAAUGUUGAUCAGCAACAUUACGUCAUUAUUCCCUAUUCACACUAGUCUUGUCACAGCUGGCAUUUAAUACUUGUGCUCCAAAUGGAAUAAUCUAGUUUGAGAGCACCAAUCAUGGCAACUGGCUCUGGUAAACACAGUUUGUAAAAUAUUGUAGUUGAAGUAUAUUUAUGUCGAUUAUGUAAUCUUUGGUGUAUUGUUUAAACGCCUUACUUAGAUCACGUGACCUACGGAGCACUAAUUCUAAUAGAAAAAGCUAAAUGAUAUUUUCCACGGCUCCUAUUUGGUCAAUGACUUUGUGCUCCUGAAAACCACAGGUCAAAUGAUCUUAGCAAGGCGAUAGCAUAUUCAAUAUGUGUGUAGUAAGUGACAGCUUGUCUGUCCGUUUCUAGUUUUAUAGGUUAAACGGGACGGGUUCCCGAUGUAGAAACCAUUAGUUCAUACGCCUGUCUCUCGUCUUUAACUCGGAACGGUUCGACGAAUCAGGGUAUACAUAUAAGGCCCAGAACAGACGGUGAAACGCAACUGCAACGAAACUGCAACUUUCUGAUGAUUCUGAUGAAUGAAAUGGAACUGAAAGUUUCAAACUGGUCGCGUCAUGUGUGGUCUCUCAACGGACGCUAUGGCAGAAACUUAGAUGCAACUCAAAAGUAACUAGCAGUUGCAGUUACGUUGCAGUUGCGUUUCACCGUCUGUUCUGGGCCUAAGACUUCUUAUAUAGACGAGCGGCUCAUAGCUGACGGCAGUGGAAAAGGCAGCUGUCGCCACCUUACGCUCAUGUAUAAGAAGCCUUACAUCUUUUUAGGGUUAACCAACUAUAGAAAAUGACUUGACGCGAGUCAGACAAAUAAGGCAGAGGCCCACUUUUAACACACUGAAUACGAGUAUAUUAAUAUUAUGUCAAUUCAAACUAAUUUUAUACGUUAGUUUUGCUUAGUGAUGGUUUAUGCAAGUGGGCCCUAAAUGUACUCUAUACCUUAUAAGUACACUACGUUUCAAAUCGAGAUAACGAUAUUGUAAACAUAUAUUAUCACUUAUUCGUAGAUUUGUAGUGAUGAAAAAGUAGGGGUUAAUUUUAGUCUAUAAUAUUGUAAAAACCACCAUCUUCAUCAUCUUAUAUCAUCAUUAGAUUAGGUUAGGUACCUAAGUACACUGCUUGUAAAAUAGCUUUGCUCACUGUAUGUCAUUAUUAAGGUUUGUUUGCCACCAAAAGCUACAAAUAUUCAAUGCCUCAUUUUCUUCGUACGCACACUCGACGAAUAGAAGUCUUUACGCAAAGACGUUUAGUUUCGCAAUUAUUUUUCUAGUCAUGCCCACAGAACAGGAAUUCGUUAAUUUUUAUAGGCUUGGUACGAUUAUGUAGGCUAUAAAUAAUAAGAAUUAAUAUAUAAAUAAAUGUAUCGUAGAUGUAGUUAACACCUUAAACAUGUAGACCCGUUACAUAUCUCAAAAUUAGGCAGCUUAUACCAUCUUAAAUUCUCUUAAAACUGUUGCGAAAGAGAUUUAAAUAAGAGGAUAUUUUCAUAUAAUUGUUUUUGAGUAUACAAAAUCUUCUCAAAAACUAAAAUCCAUGAUUUUUUUAGGUGUUAAAAUAAAGUAUUAUGCAUACAUAAUAUAAUUCUGUAGUUCUAACUUAAUAUUCGUCUAUUUAUGACUUGUGUAAGUGACAAGUCAAUAAUGUGUGUAUAAUUUUUUUAAACAUUUACGGAUGAUUCCCAGGUUAAGUAUGCCUUAUGUAUUAUGUCCAUAUUGAUAGGGAGGAUUGACCAUUCCUAUUUUUUGUAAAUGUUUCUAGAACGUAAGAUUUGGUCAUAAAGUUGAAUUCGGGAAGAAUGACGUCGUUUCUCUAUUUGAUAAAUAAACGAACGUCGCAAAUUAACUACACAAAUAACUGCAGUAUCGAAAAGAUUCUGAAUUAUUAUUGACCUAGUGUAAAUAUAACUUCAAACAUUUGUUGUUAUUGAAUUUGGAAAAUAAUGACCAUGUACGUUUGUACGUAAUUUAUAGAUGAACGAAAUUGGAUGUUAUGCUGUAAUAAGACAAAGGGGAAUGUUGAGGAAACUAAAAAAAACAUCAAUAUUUCUAAGAUCAUUCAUUAAACAAUACAGAUGGACUUCUAGAAUGACAUUUACAUCGCAAAAUUAGCCCUUACUUACUGGUAUGUGCUAGGGCCCAUAUUAUUACAAUAUUGUAUACAGGCAGAACAUCGUUUUCGGCACUCGACGCUAGCUUACUAGUGUUGUGUAAACCAAAGAACGUUCGAACUCUGUUCUAACGUACCAAAAUUUGCUCAGAAUAUUUCUAAGUAGACUUCGUGGACGGUUUUCGUCGCCCGACAACAUCCAAUGUACAUUCUGUAGGCAUGAGGUCUAGUAUCUGAAGAGUACUUUAACUCGAACGCUUAUUUUGUACAUAAUUUGGCAUAUUUCAAACCAUAGUCUUGGUUUUCUGUUUGAGUAUGCGAUCGUUAAUACUUUAGUUGAUUUUUGUUUUCGCUUGUGUUAUUGCUGUUCGCACAAAUUCUUCUAAGUGGUUAUCUUUACUUAAAUAUUCCAUCAAAUAUAUUUUGUUGCAUUUUUAACUCAUUAUUAUGUGUAACUUAUCUAAUAAGGCCUAAAUCAGUGUUUAAAUGUUUAUGUAUUAGGUGGUAAAUUUCGUAGUUAUUAUGUAUACUUAUUAUGUAUCUAUCCGUAUAUUUAAUGUCUUAUAGAGGGCUCAUAUUUGACGGUUUUCCCGAAACGUUUUUAAUUGAGGCGCUCCCUCACCGGGGGCAUUCGUGUGUAAUGUAACGUUUCAGAUUCGAGUCUAUAAUGUUACAUUACACGUGAAUGCUCCCGGUGAGGCAGCACCUUUGUGUACAGUCAGCGUCAAAUAGUGCGUGACACCCAAGUAGCCAAAAAGUUCGCAACCAUUGGAAUAAGGCGUUUGAUAGUCGUAUACCUCGAAAUCAAAAAAUCCUAGUAGCUUUUCACCUAUUCGCAUUUCGCCGCGAUAUCAAAAUUUCUGAAUAGAUUUUUAUUCUUGUAGUAUAAUUUUUGAUCGCUAAUUACAAUUGUCUAAAAAAAUCAUAGUAUGUUUACUUUCCUGCCUGUGUCGGCUUAAUAAAUAGGCUAUUGAUAAUACAUGCUACAUCAAAAUUUGCUACUGUUGUAAAAAUCUGUUAAAAAUAUAUGCUAGUAACAAAAUAUCCUACCGAUAUUACACGCUACAACAAAAAACGCUAUUACAGUGAAAUGCGAAUAGGUGAAAAGCUACAAGGAUUUUUUGAUUUCGAGGUAUACGACUAACAAACGUACAAGGUUGUGUUGUCAAUUUUAUGGCCACUUUGGGUGUAACGAACUAUUUGACGCUGACUGUACAAGCGGUGUGACGAGUAGUCGACGUAUGCGCACGUGUCAGUAUUUUUUAUCUAUACGGUAGUCUUAGCUCUUGUAUCUUGCGGACAAACCGUAUUUUUCAACGUAAACGAAGAACGUUUCACAAAAACCGCUAUGGUAUGGUCUCGCUAUUACUCGAUACCAAAGUAUGUUGCAAUUUGGAAUUACAAUAGUGAAUAAUUUAAUAUUGAUGUAGUAGCUUCAGACAGGUGCCAUAGACAGUUAUUUAUUUGUCAUGGGUUUUAAACACGCUCAUCCCGGGUGGGUUUUCAAACAUUUGCAUUGUUUCAUGUAUAGUUUGCAAAUUUUUUCGUUUUAAACGAAUAACUUUAGCUAUGCUUUUUUUAGACUUUUUUUUUGAGAUCACAUUAACUUAGUGCCCACUCGAGAAUACUGUAACUUCUUUUUAUAGGCUUUUAUUUAUAGAUUCUUAUUUCUAUUGUUCUUACUGAACGUACGGAACCUAUACUAUUAAAUUAUAUAUUUUUAUAAUUCUGGUAUUAAAUAGCAGAUAAAAACUGCCUUUGUCGUUGCCUUAAAACACGAAACAUACCUCUUAUUCAUGUUAUUUGAUGAAAACAUCUGGUUGUGUUUCAGAGCAAAUAAGUACCUACUCACGGACGUUGUGAUUAAUUUGGGAUAACUAAAGGUAACUUGAUGUCCAUUGUUAUUUAAAUAAAUUAGUGUAACUUAGUGAAACACGAGUAUUUUAUCAAUUUGACAAUAGUUUCGUGCUCACUGACAAAAGCCUUAAAGUUAGUUAACUUCCAAAUACAUAAUAUUAUUAUGUAAAUUCAUACUUUAUGGAAAUGUGAAAUCCAAUGUUGGCUUUUUAGUCCGUGCCUACAAAUUAAAUAGUUUAUUUUUUAAAUGUAAAGUACGUAAGAUCAUCCAUCAAAUUGCCUUUAUUGAGUAGUAAUAUUAUUAAACUUUUACAUUAUUUUUUGUCAGUUAUAUUGAAAAGGUUUAUUUAUAUUUUUGCAUUGUGUAUAUUUUUGCGGAAUUGCACUAGAUGAUAAGGUAUAAAUGUUGUGUAAAUUGCGAUUGUUGCUCGAGAUAUUAUCUAAUAAAAAACCGUUUUAUGACUGUCAUCAAGUCAACUCGAUAUAGUGGGGGCAAGCGAACUUCUGGCCAAUAGAAACCGAGUUCUUCACAAUGUCUACUGCCAUCGACUUCAGUCCUUUCACACCGCGUCCCUGGUCAUCUAGGCAGGACUUAUUGCAGCAGUGUUGAAUGCGUCUCGAGCAACAUUCGCAUGUGGAUGUUGGUGUCACAAGACCACAAUAUAUAAAUGUAACCACUAGGUGUUAAGUAAGGUAUUUAUAAUGAGUGUCUCCAUGUUUACUGGCAAACUGUAGCUCAGGUUGGUCCCCCAUCCGUUUUGUUGUUGUAGGAAUGUGAACACAGGCAAGGACAAUUAUCUCUGAACGAUCAGAUAGUCGUGUAUUCUAAUCCAUCUUGUGAAUGACAAAAUAUGCCUAGAUUGGCUUACAUGCAAUUAUUGUCUUAAUGCACUAAUUCUCGGAGAUGAAUUGCACCUUAAGAGUAGGCGCACACCGUUGAUUUUUCGUCGGCCGAUAGUUUAGUCGGGCAGUUGAUCAGUAUGGGCAUGUAUGGGAGUGCGCACACUACGCCGAAUCGAUUUGACAGAUUCUUCAUACAAUUUAAAAUCGGGCACAACUAUCGGCCAACUAAAAAUCAACGGUGUGCGCCUACUCUAAAAGACCAACUGUAUACAGCGCUCGUCGCAGUCCGAGCACGUCACAAUAUCCUAUGAUUUAAGAGAAGUUACAUUUAUUUAGUACACUCAUUUAUUUUCUGUAACAACUAAUUUUUUAAGACUUAUCUACUAAGGCUUGAUUCACGUUGAAAGCGCGGGUGAGAAGUCGAAUCGUGUGCAAUGGUUCUAGGUUCAAGUGCGGCUCUCAUAUGGAUGCACAUUUCCAAAGUACCUACCUAACUAAAUAAAGUUCCCACGUUAUCUACAAACGCUUAUUUAACUCACAUUCACCCGAGAUUUUAAUGUGAAUCGCGGUAGAAGAUACGUCAUGAAAAAUUCAAAAUUUUGUAGCUACAGUAGUUUUGGUCUGACACAUGAGCUUAUAUACUUUUAUACCAAUCUAGGUAAGUCUACGAUUUGUUCCAUUAUCAGAUGUUUAAAUGUAGCAAUGAAAUGUGUGGACUUCAUUCCUGUGUAAUGUAUGUGUCAGCUACACCCCGGCUAUAGUUCCCUAGUCAGCCCUCGCCGGAGUGCAGUCCACACAAUGGGGCGGUGUUAGCGCGUAAGGAACGAAUGACUGUUGUAUAAUGGUUCGACCACGACUCGAUGUAAGAUUUGUAUGCAGGGAUCGAUAGGAAACGAUUUAAAUGUCUGAAAAUAAAGCUAGUCAUGUGUUUA